UCUGGGAGUAGAGGAGCAAUAACCAUUAGUACGAUUACGGAGGUACGUGAGUGCCUAUGAAGUAUUCUGAAAGGGGAAAUUGCCGAAGCUAAAGAGAGCUCACGCUUUUGAGGCUGGUUAUACACUGAAUAAGUGUAUGGCUGUCAUAUAGCACUUGCUAUAUGGAGGGCUAUCUCACGC
rnacentral:ncRNA from 2 species